rnacentral:rRNA from 1 species
UGCGUAGGCGGAUUAAUAAGUCAGUGGUGAAAACCUGCAGCUUAACUGUAGACUUGCCAUUGAUACUGUUAGUCUUGAGUACGGUCAAGGUAGGCGGAAUGUGUAAUGUAGCGGUGAAAUGCUUAGAUAUUACACAGAACACCGAUUGCGAAGCCAGCUUACUGGGCCAUUACUGACGCUGAGGCACGAAAGCGUGGGGAGCGAACAGGAUUAGAUACCCUGGUAGUCC